rnacentral:rRNA from 1 species
AGCGAACGCUGGCGGCAGGCCUAACACAUGCAAGUCGAGCGGCCGUAGCAAUACGGCAGCGGCAGACGGGAUAGUAACACGUGGGAACGCGCCCUUCGGUUCGGAAUAACUCAGGGAAACUUGAGCUAAUACCGGAUACGCCCUUACGGGGAAAGAUUUAUUGCCGAAGGAACGGCCCGCGUCGGAUUAGCUAGUUGGUGAGGUAAUGGCUCACCAAGGCGACGAUCCGUAGCUGGUCUGAGAGGAUGACCAGCAUCACUGGGACUGAGACACGGCCCAGACUCCUACGGGAGGCAGCAGUGGGGAAGUAUUGGACAAUGGGCGCAAGCCUGAUCCAGCCAUGCCGCGUGGAUGAUGAAGGCCCUAGGGUUGUAAGCUCUUUCAGUAGGGAAGAUAAUGACGGUACCUACAGAA